rnacentral:rRNA from 1 species
UGCUGGCGGCAGGCCUAACACAUGCAAGUCGAACGGUAACAGGAAGCAGCUUGCUGUUGCUGACGAGUGGCGGACGGGUGAGUAAUGUCUGGGAAACUCCUGAUGGAGGGGGAUAACUACUGGAAACGGUAGCUAAUACCGCAUAACGUCGCAAGACCAAAGAGGGGGACCUUCGGGCCUCUUGCCAUCGGAUGUGCCCAGAUGGGAUUAGCUAGUAGGUGGGGUAACGGCUCACCUAGGCGACGAUCCCUAGCUGGUCUGAGAGGAUGACCAGCCACACUGGAACUGAGACACGGUCCAGACUCCUACGGGAGGCAGCAGUGGGGAAUAUUGCCAAUGGGCGCAAGCCUGAUGCAGCCAUCCGCGUGUAUGAAGAAGCCUUCGGGUUGUAAAGUAUCUUUCAGCGGGGAGGAAGGGUAGUAAAGUUAAUACCUUUGCUCAUUACGUUACCCGCAAAAAAGCGACCGGCUAACC